rnacentral:rRNA from 1 species
GACAGAGGGUGCAAACGUUACUCGGAAUCACUGGGCGUAAAGAGCGUGUAGGCGGGUAGAUAAGUCGGGCGUGAAAUCCCUAGGCUCAACCCUAGGAACUGCACUCGAAACUGUUUAUCUUGAGUGCCGGAGAGGAAAGCGGAAUUCCUGGUGUAGAGGUGAAAUUCGUAGAUAUCAGGAGGAACACCAGUGGCGAAGGCGGCUUUCUGGACGAUAACUGACGCUGAGACGCGAAAGCGUGGGGAGCAAACAGG